UACGUAGGGUGCGAGCGUUGUCCGGAAUUACUGGGCGUAAAGGGCGCGUAGGCGGCCACCGCAAGUCAAUUGUGAAAUCUCUGGGCUUAACCCAGAAAGGUCAACUGAUACUGCGGGGCUAGAGUGCAGAAGGGGCAACUGGAAUUCUCGGUGUAGCGGUGAAAUGCGUAGAUAUCGAGAGGAACACCUGCGGCGAAGGCGGGUUGCUGGGCUGACACUGACGCUGAACUGCGAAAGCUAGGGGAGCGAACGGG
rnacentral:rRNA from 1 species